AAUGAACGCUGGCGGCAGGCCUAACACAUGCAAGUCGAACGGAUCCUUCGGGAUUAGUGGCAGAUGGGGGUGUAACGCGUGGGAACGUUCCCUUUUCUAUGGAAUAACUCAGGGAAACUUGAGCCAACACCGAACGGGCCCUACUGGGGGAAGAUUUAUUGGCCAAGGAUCGGCCCGCGUUGGAUUAGCUAGUUGGUGCGGUAAUGGCCUCCCAAGGCGACGAUCCAUAGCUGGUUUGUGAGGAUGAUCAGCGACUCUGAGACUGAGACACGGCCCAGACUCUUACGGGAGGCAGCAGUGGGGAAUAUUGGACCAUGGGCGCAAGCCUGAUCCAGCCAUGCCGGGUGAGUGAUGAAGGUCUUAGGAUUGUAAAGCUCUUUCACCGGUGAAGAUAAUGACGGUAGCCGGAGAAGAAGCCCCGGCUAACUUCGUG
rnacentral:rRNA from 1 species